ensembl:lncRNA
AAAUUGACUCACAGUUCUGCGUGGCUGGGGAGGCCUCAGGAAACUUGCAAUCAUGGCGGAAGGCACCUCUUCACACGGGCGGCUGGAGAGAGAAUGAGUGCUAGCAGGGGAAGUGCUGACACUUAUAAAUUAGAUCUUUUGAGACUCACUCAUUACCACGAGAACAGCACAGGCAAAACCACUCCCCUCUGAUUCAAUUGCUUCCACCUGGUCCUGCCCUUGACGGGUGGGGUUUAUUACAACUUAAGAAGAGAUUUCCAUGGGGAAGCAGAGCCAAACCAUAUCACCUUCUAAGCACAGAGUGUCUCUGCUUGGAAUUCCACUGGGCACUGUCUUAUCUGAUUGACACCAUCAUCGUUCACAUGUUUCAUUAUGUCAUUCAAUACCAGAAUCUACUCAAACGCACCUCCAAUACCACAGAUUUUUCUAUUCUAUGGGAUAAAUCAUCUGCAAACUUUCUAGUAUACCAAAGCUGUUUCCAUUGCUUUCCAAAAUUGGAGAUGUGUAUCUUUUCCCAUGAUAACAAAAUUUACUUUUAGCAAUUCGGUUAUAUCUAUUUAUAUUGUCACUUUCUAACUACUUCUACUUCUUCUACAGAGGAAUAAUUAACACAUCUAAAUGAUAAAACAUCAAUCUGUGCUUAGAAUUUUCCCCAAAUAUUUGCAAGUAAGAGGCCAUACAAAGUAAGAGGUCUAAAUCUGUUAACUUUCAUAGCAUACAACUAAUAAGUAUUUUUUAAAUGCUGAUAAACAUUUUAAUGCACGGUUUUUAAAACCAUCAAGCUUCAUACAUAUAAUGUUUAUUAAAAAUUAUAGAAAUAGCGGUGGCUCAUGCCUGUAAUCCCAGCACUUUGGGAGGCUGAGGCGGGUGGAUCACGAGGUCAAGAGAUCGAGACCAUCCUGGUCAACAUGGUGAAACCCCCGUCUCUACUAAAAAAAAAAAAAAAAAUACAAAAAAUUAGCUGGGCAUGGUGGCACGUGCCUGUAAUCCCAGCUACUCAGGAGGCUGAGGCAGGAGAAUUGCCUGAACCCAGGAGGCGGAGGUUGCGGUGAGCCAAGAUCGCGCCAUUGCACUCCAGCCUGGGUACCAAGCGUGAAACUUCGUCUCAAAAAAAAAAAAAAAAAAAAAAAACAGAGAUCAAUUCAAUAUGAGGAAAGAUGCAGGCAGGCCUGCCUCCAAAUCAGCUGGACUCUUGUUUAUGCCAAUAAUCCCCAAAACAAAAGGCCUUACACUAUGUGGAAUAUUACUUCAGACUCCACUGUUCUUUUCUUCAUUAUGUCUUUCAUGUAAUAAGAAAAACUACAAAAUAUAUGAAACAAGCAAGAAAAUAUGACCCAAAAGGAAGGGGGAAAACGCAACCAAUUGGUGAGACUCACACUUGACCCAGAUUCCAUCAUGAGAAGCUAUAGGAAGACAAAUAAAUUAAAACCAAAAUAAGUUGAAUAUAGAAAAUAGAAAAGAUAAAAUCAGCAAUCACUGAAGUUUUUUAAAAGUCAAUUACAGAGGAAACUAACAAAACCCAACAUUUUCCUCCAAAAUAAUCAUUAAAAUACUUAAACAGCUAAUGAGAAUAAAUAAGAAAAAAGAAAGUGCCAGUUAUCAACAUCGUGAAUAAACAGAGGAUUCCACUGCACAUUAAGAAGGGUAACUGUAUGAUAUUAAGAAUGCCUUUAUGCCAAUAAAUUCAACAACUAAG